CCUACGGGUGGCAGCAGUGGGGAAUAUUGGUCAAUGGGCGGGAGCCUGAACCAGCCAAGUCGCGUGAGUGAAGACGGUCCUAUGGAUUGUAACCCUCUUUAGGCGGGGAGCAAUGCCGGGCACGUGUGCCCGUAGGGAGAGUACCCGCAGAAUAAGCAUCGGCUAACUCAGUGCCAGCAGCCGGGGUAAUACGGAGGAUGGGAGCGUUAUCCGGAUUUAUUGGGUUUGAAGGGUGCGUAGGCGGAUUUUUAAGUCAGCGGGAAAAUGGCCGGGCUAAACCCGGGCGGGCCGUUGAAACUGGGGAUCUUGAGUGGGCGAGAAGUAUGCGGAAUGUGUGGUGUAGCGGUGAAAUGCAUAGAUAUCACGCAGAACUCCGAUUGCGAAGGCAGCAUACCGGCGCCCGACUGACGCUGAGGUACGAAAGCGUGGGGAUCGAACAGGAUUAGAUACCCUUGUAGUC
rnacentral:rRNA from 1 species